rnacentral:rRNA from 1 species
AGGACGAACGCUGGCGGCGUGCCUAACACAUGCAAGUCGAGCGAUGAGGCCCUCGGGUGGAUUAGCGGCGGACGGGUGAGUAACACGUGGGUAACCUGCCUCAAAGAGGGGGAUAGCCUCCCGAAAGGGAGAUUAAUACCGCAUAACAUUAUUUCUUCGCAUGAAGAGAUAAUCAAAGGAGUAAUCCGCUUUGAGAUGGACCCGCGGCGCAUUAGCUAGUUGGUGAGGUAAUGGCUCACCAAGGCGACGAUGCGUAGCCGACCUGAGAGGGUGAUCGGCCACAUUGGAACUGAGAUACGGUCCAGACUCCUACGGGAGGCAGCAGUGGGGAAUAUUGCGCAAUGGGGGAAACCCUGAACCGCAGCAACGCCGCGUGGGUGAAGAAGGCCUUCGGGUUGUAAAGCUCUGUCUUCUGGGACGAUAAUGACGGUACCAGAGGAGGAAGCCACGGCUAACUACGUGCCAGCCGCCGC